GCCUGGGGAAGAAGUCUCUGGAGCAGUGGGUGACCGAGGAGGCCUCCUGCCUUUGUGAUGCUUUUGCCAACCAUGCUGGGCAGCCCUUUCGACCCAACGCCCUGAUGAGCAAAGCGGUGUGCAACGUGAUUGCUUCCCUCAUCUACUCACGCCACUUCGAGUACGAUGACUACAUUGUGAUCAGGUUGACCGAGUUACUGGAGGAUGGCCUGAAGGAUGACAAUGGCUUGUUGCUUCAGGUAGUGAACUCAGUGCCACUGCUCACACGCAUCCCAUGGGUGGCUGC